UCAAAUUAAAAACAUUACUGAACAUAUCACCGAAUAACAAAUUCAACUUUAUUAUCAAGCAUUAAAAACAAAAAAAUAAAAUUAGUUCUUAAAAAUGGGAUUACGCACAUGUUUUGGAAAUUGUAUUGGCUGGAUCAACAUAUAUUGGUGGGGAUUUAUUGCCAUUAACAUUAGUUUCUUUUUGCUUAUAAUUGCCAUGAAACAAAUGUUUAUAACGAAGGAGAGUUUUGAGGAAGAAGAUGCAAUUGCCUUCACCUGGUUUUGCAGUGUUGCAUUUGCGGUUUGUGUUUUGAUUAUCACAGUAUCGGCACUUCUUGUCAGGGGCAUUAAAGAGAAUCGUCCAAAAGCAAUGAUUCCUUUCCUUCUGUUUACAUUCACUCAAAUAAUUGCCUACCUAUGUGGUGCCAUUGUUAUAUCAUUGCGCUAUGCUGAUAAUACAGUUCUUCUUGUUCUUGUGGUCAAUAUGGAAUAAACCUAAAUUAUUGAGCCCCUUUGUCUAUUUGACAUACAUUGGCUGUUGGCUGUAUGGCCUCGUAGCACUUCGACAUUUCAUCUCGGGCUUAUUUAACCGCGGACCAUUUUUACCUCUUUUUCUUCAUCUCUUGAUACAUUUGACAAUUAUUGGUAUUCUAGUUGCAAUGUUAUGGCCAGUAUUAAAGUUGCACAAGAGAUGGCGCAAGGAACGCAAAAUAUCAAUGUCUACUGUCUGCAAUAAUAGUACAACUAAUUUUUAAUUAGUUUAAGAAUGCUUUUUAGGAUGUAUUUGAAAUAAACCAAACAAAAUGUUAUGGGUUCCAGAAUUAAGGUGCAAGACAAUUUUGAUUUACAACACUUAU